rnacentral:siRNA from 1 species
UCAAUGCAUUGAAAGUGAUUA